GUGUCGUCCUGUUAUUGGAGGGGAAGAAGAUUUACUCCUGUGUCUGCUGUUCCAGCUUGCAGGGGAUUCAACGGGGAAAGUCCUUGUAAGGACUAGAGCUAAUUCCCCAUUCGGCUACAAAAAGGUUCUAGGGCACAGUCAAGCCACGGCGACUGUGGGUAGAAGUACUGCGGUCCAGCUAGGAAGUACUGCGGUUCCAGCUAGGAAGCGGUCCUUGGAGGAGGU